UCCAACUGUUCACCAGUGAAUUGAAACUGACAUACACUAUCUAUUGGGACAAGGCCUCAGACACACUUAAGGAAGAAAUUAUGACCCCGCUUGAGUCCCUCUCUGCCAGCGAAGUUAAAGAAGCCGCCAGUGAAAAUUAGGCGAGAGUUGCCAUGACUGUUAUAAUGAAAACGUCCCGAACAUUGGAGUGAAACUGAAACAAGAAGAUUAUCAAGGAUUCAGAACUGGUUUGAUCGGGAUAGUUUAAAAAAUUAUUGGCUCAGCAAGUGGCUCAACAUGAAUGAAAGACUGACUCCAAAGGCCUGCUGGACUUUUAUCAUCAGAUAGAACCAGUUCAUCACAAAAGGGGAAGGAAACCUGCCAUCCUUACCUGGUCUGGCCUACACGUGACUCCAGUCCCAUAGCAGCAGCGUUGACUCGAUCAGGAUGACAGCAAAGAAGCAGGACUACGUGUGGGCUCCUGAGCCCAGCCUCAUCCAUUGCCAUCUCCUUCCUUACAGUUUACUUCGACUCUUUUCCUUUUAUUUUUCUUUCUGUUUUUUCUUUUCUUUAAAUCCUUUUGCGACAGGUUAAUUGGAGGUUUCAGCACAGUGGUGAGAAUGGCAGCGGCCUCUCAGCAAUUGAUGUCAGGUUCACAGGCUGUCCAGGACUGUAGGCCGUGACUAGGCCCAGUUGUCUGUAUUGGUCAUUCCAAAUACCUUUUUGGGGGCUUUCUUUUAUUUCUGCUGUUACAUUUUUUAAAAAUUUUGUCUUUUUAAGCAAGGUGAUGCUGAAGAGUGUGACUUUGUACACUGCACUGGCAUUCCUGUGUUUGAGUACA